UGCUCUUUGUAGUAUUAUAGAUAGAGAGUCGGACCUGCCCAGUGAAGUAUUUUCAACGGCCGCGGUACUCUGACCGUGCAAAGGUAGCAUAAUCAUUUGCCUUAUAAUUGAAGGCUUGUAUGAAUGGUUUGACAAGAAUAGAUCUGUCUCUUUAUAAUUAACUAAAAUUUUAUUUAUAGGUGAAGAAGCCUAUAUAAAAUUGAAAGACAAGAAGACCCUAUCGAGCUUUAAAGUAAUUAAUAAGCUUAAAAUCAUAUUUAUAUUGAGCUAGUUGUUAAAAAUUUUAGUUGGGGCGACUAAGGAACAAACAAAGCUUCCUUAAAACUUCAAUACUUGCAAGUUUAGAUCCAAAUUUUUGAUCAAAGGAAUUAGUUACCGUAGGGAUAACAGCAUUAUCUUUUUUAAGAGCUCAAAUCGAAAAAAAGGUUUGUGACCUCGAUGUUGGACCAGAAUGUCCUAAAGAUGCAGCCGUCUUUAAGGGUUGGUCUGUUCGACCAUUAAAAUUCUACGUGAUCUGAGUUCAGACCGGCGUGAGCCAGGUCAGUUUCUAUCUUCAAUUUUUUUAGCGUGGACUUAGUACGAAAGGAUUAGUCUAUAGUAAAAAUUAUUAUGUUUGAUAAAGUAUAAGAUAAAAUUCAAUGAAUUAGUUUUAAUCAAAUUGGCAGAGAUAAUGCAAUUGAUUUAGGAUCAAUAGACAUAGGUGAAAAUCCUUUAUUUGAUAUUAUAAAGGUGGCAGAUAAA
rnacentral:rRNA from 1 species